rnacentral:misc_RNA from 1 species
CCAUAGCAGCAGCCGUCCCACCGCCGUAUAGUAGGCAUCCACCGACGCGCGUCUGCCAACGCGAACGCGUCGUCCGUCGACCCUCCCCACCCGUUCUCCUUUUUCUUGUCGUCACAGACAAGGAGGCGCUUGUAGUUCUUAGUGAGGCACGUCCGCCCACUAUUCCAUCAUUAAGAGUAGUCUUAGAUUAGUGCGCCUGUGCGUCAUCCGGUACCCCACCCCCUUUCCACGGCUCGACCACCCCCAAAAGGAAAAAAACCCGUUCCUGCUUCGUCACUAACUCACCGACGUGAAUACGCGCCCCAACACUUACCUCCCUUGCGUAAACUAGAAGGCGAAAAGAUGGUCCGCUAUGUGCAGCGUCCGUGGUUCUCGCCGCUUGGCUUCAUGGCGUCAAGCCCGACCGCCUACGCGCCAAUGAUGACCUGCAUCGCCCUCGCCAUCAUCUUCCCGUUCCGCUACCAAAUCUCCGAGUAUUUUGAGCGCCAGCGCGAUGGCGUGCACGUGGAGCUGCGCCGCAAAGCUGUCAAGUACUACGCUGAGAUGGAGCGGAUGCACCGUCGGCAGGCGCUGGUGAACCUGGAAAGCAUUCAGGACGACAACGCGCCGCACCGCCUCAGCGCGGUGCUGUCGGUGGAGUCAACUCAGGCCGGCCACCUAGACCAGGAGUACAACUACUGGUACGCCCACGAGCGCGACGCGAUCCGGGCAGAGAAGUUGAUGAUGGAGAUCCGCGAGCUAAAGGCGAAGAUGGCUUCUGACAGCGCGUGAGAGAGCGAGAGCGAGAGCGAGACGGGAAGCGCGAGGAGAGGCUUUGUUGAUGGCUCCUCGCCAUCCUUACUCUCCCUGUGGCCGUGUGGAGUGUGCGCAUGUUUAGCGUUGCAUCAUCUGUGACGCGCAUCUCGCGUGGCAAGGCCGCUGUUGUGGCGAUGCCGUAGCGAGCGACACGGCGCCCAAGGGCUUGCCUCACAGCCACUUUGAUUUCUUUCUCCUGCCUCGCUGGCUCGUUGGCUCCUCCUGCUCUUUGUGUGCUAUUAGUUGGUUCUUGUCAUCAUCGUCGUCGCCGUUUUUCUCUUCCCGCGCGCGUGGC